GAUGAACGCUGGCGGCGUGCCUAAUACAUGCAAGUCGAGCGAACAGCCGCGGAGCUUGCUCCUCUGACGUAAGCGGCGGACGGGUGAGUAACACGUGGCUAACCUACCUGUAAGACUGGGAUAACUUCGGGAAACCGGCGCUAAUACCGGACAAUCUAUUAAACCGCAUGGUUAAAUAGUGAAAGGCGGUUUUGCUGUCCCUUAUCGAUGGAUCCGCGCCGCAUUAGCUAGUUGGUAAGGUAACGGCUUACCAAGGCAACGAUGCGUAGACGACCUGAGAGGGUGAUAGGCCACACUGGAACGUAGACACGGUCCAGAGUACUGCGGCAGGCAGCAGUAGGGUAUCGGCGGCAAUGGGCGAGAGCAUGACGGAGCAACGCCGCGUGAGUGAUGAAGGUCUUCGGAGCGUAAAACUCUGUUAUUGGGGAAGAACAUAUGUGUAAAUAACUAUGCACGUCUUGACGGUACCUAAUCAGAAAGCCACGGCUAACUACGUG
rnacentral:rRNA from 1 species